rnacentral:lncRNA from 1 species
UGCAGGCAUGGGAAUGAUGAUGUGUGCGAGUUGGGGAUGAAAACGGUCGGAAAAAUGCUCAAACCAUUUCCGUUACCAUAUUUGAGAGAGAGAGAGAGAGAGAGACGCACAGAGCGAGAGAGAGAGAGAGAUGGGUACAGCACUUCCCAGAAAGCCAAACACCAUCUCUGUAUAUCAAGUUUCAUCAUUGGGCUUCAAAUCAAAGCAUGGCACCUACGUAGUGCUAAACCUUGGUGAAACUGCCAAUAUCAAUCAAAUAAAACAAUGAUCCAAUUCAGAAUCGCAAAUACUGGCCAAGCAACAACACAAAGGUACUAGAGAGUAGAAACACAAUAUGAUAUUGAACAGUUAAUAAAAACAAACCUACACAAGCGACAACAAAAAUGUACUAAAAGAAAUGAAGCACUCAUUAUGUGAUAUUAUAACAGAAAAGAAUGCAAAUGAUGAGUCUCUCGUCAAGCCAACAUACCCAAACCUGCUGGAAACAAAAAAUAGAAAGUGUCCAUUUUGAUUAACCCCUUAACACUUGUCCAAGUCCAGGAAUCGCUAACUCAACAAACCGUGGCCAUUCAACAUUACCCACAUAAAUAGUUUCUUUGCUGCCUAGGUGGAGGGGCCAUACCAAAACUUAUAAUUAUGUGCUAAGCAGUGCUGACUCAUCAACAUGUUCACUUGUACACAUUUCACCAGCAUGGUUUUGGGCAAUGGGGAGUUUGUAAUGAUUUUGAUAGAUCAAAGAUGUUAAACAUGCGAUAUUUGUAGUUUUGGGUUGCCGCGAAUGUUCAGGUAAAAUGGCCAAUAGUACAAUAAAAAGAACAUUGACAAAAAAACUUACAACUUGUGCAUGUGCAGGGAAACUUUAUUGAUGGCAAGUCUCUCUGAUGCAUUUCAUUGAUGGCAUAUAUGGUCAGUGAUUUGCCCGCUAAAACUUAUGCAGUACCUGCAUUCCAAACAGAUCCUUCGAUGACAAAUUCCCUACUCGUGCAUGGAUUUUGAGGGAGGAGAGAAGACCAAGUGCCAUCUAUGCAUAUUAAGUUUUUAUUAUUAGGCAAUGCAUUUAGAUAUGCUACUACCAAGCAAAGCAACAUUGUAAAAAUAUGGAAAUAUGAACCUGCUGGUAAUCAAGACCAUGGCUAUCGCAGGCUCUUGAUUCAUCGUAUUAUACAGGAGGUAAUAAAAAAAGGUGGUAAACUAGAUGAGAGAAGGAAUAUCGACAAGAUAUGUUAACACAAAAAAGAGAUAAACAAUGUAGUGGCAUAAGUUGAGGUAUUUUGAAUCUACGAGGAAUAGACAAGGUGGAGAUAUUUGAAUUGUUCUGAACAUCAAUCACUACAUCUGCAGCCAUGAUACAUUAAGUGUGUACUUGUUUGCACGGCAAUGGACCAACUCCGUCAGAUAGUAAAUUUCUGGGAGUUACAUCAGGCUAUUAAGGAGACACAGAGUCUGAGAGGCAAGCAACAAAACUAAAAGAUCCAAACAAAAAGAUUGAAAGGUCGAUAUUACCAAAUGGCCCUCUGAUUUCACAACUUUGUUUUUCAUCUUAGGCUGGCUAAUGCGGCAGCCCUCAAUGCUGGCACUGAAGCAUGUCUCAAGGGAACGGCAGAACUGGAUGAUGAUGAUCGAUGACGACGACAACGACGACAACUGCCACAGCAGUGGCAGGAGCGGAGGAGGACGAAGAAGAAGAAGAGAAAAAGAAAGAAAGAGAGCUACUUUUCCAAAGCAGAAGCAGCAGCAGAAACCAUGGUCCUGCCAAUUGCGCGGACCGACAUGUCAGUGUUUCUCCAACCCCUGAGCAUGCUUCAGCGCCCAGAUCAUUGAGGAGCCAACGCCACACUAGCCAUUUUCAGCUCAACCCAUUGCAGAUGCAAAGGGCAACCCCAUUAGAGCUCAAGUCCGAGCCGAUCUAUCUAUCCAUCCAUCCAUCAACCAAUCGAUUUAUCGAUUCACGAGGGUCUUAGUCACAAUCAUCAUUGGGCCAAUGGCGAAUCCAGGCAAAAACGAGAGAGAUCAGAGGCACCAUGCCACAGUGAAAACGAAACAAGCGAAAUGCAUAAGAGACAGGUGCACCAGAAAAAGGACCAUCCAUGGAUGGACUCAUCUCAAACGAACUGGCAAACGUGCCAUAAGAAAAAUAAUGCCCUCAGAACUCACAUACACAGUAUCCAUUGAUGGUGCAGGAGACAGCCUCAAAUUGUGAGCAAGGAAAUGUGAGGCUGAAUGAAUUCCUGGAAUGAUGAUGGAAGGUUAAGCUAGCUAGCUACACAUGCACAAUCAUUGGAAUGAACCAUUCCAAAUGAUGACAUGUACGAGAGAGAGAGAGAGAGAGAGAGAGGAGAGAGAGAGAGAGAGAGAGAGAGAGAGAGAGAGAGAGGACGGAUGGAUGGAUACAGAUCAUACAGCACUUCCAGGAAGCAAAACACCAUCUCUGUAAAUCAUGUUUCAUCACUGGGCAUUUAAAUCAACUAAAUCAAAGCAUGGUACCUGUUAUUCUACUGCAGAAGGUACUAAAUUUAGGUGAAAUUGCUAGUCUGAAUCAAAUAAAACAUUGGUCCAAUUCAGAAUCAAAUCCAGAUGCUCUGCAAAGGUGGGGAAACAUAUAUGACUACGUGGUCUUGAACAAGGAAAACUUCAACCAAGAGAAAAGGAGGGGAAAUCGUGCAAGUGAGAAUUUUCCUUUUUUAAAAAGGAAAGUCAUAAAAAAGAGGGGAAGUCACGUUCUUGAUUGAUUGUAUGAAGGGGAUUAAGAAAGGAAGCAAAUGAGUUAUUUCUCAAAAUAUCAUGGCUCAUAAGUGGAUAGUGAUUUGGUUUUAUGAUAUGGACGACUGUCAUGAAGUCCAAAAGGUACCACUUCAAUACACUCUGGUUUCUUGAACAAAAUAAAUAACAUGGCAAUGAAAAAAAUAACAAAUGAACUUAUCACAGUGUAAAUAAAGUAAUAAACUAGUCAAUCUGCAGAAUGAAAACCCUCAGAAGCUCUAGCCUAGAAAAGGUGUCGAACUUAUCACUUGGAGCACAAACACAAGCUGACUUAGAAUAAGUCAAUAAGAGUAUCUAGGAACCGUCAUCUGGGAAGAGUUAAAGAGUCAGCUCUGCUGGGUGUCUAUCAGUUAAAAAUGAGACGAAAAUACUGGCCGAGCAACAAACAGAAAGGUUAGAGUAGAAACACAAUAAACAGUUUAACAGAACAAACCUACACAAACCACAGCAAAAAUGUACUGAAGGAAGUGCAAAUGAAAAGCCUCUCAUCAAGCCAACAUAUUCAAACUUGCAGGGAACAAAAUUUUGAAAGUACUAAGUCCAUUUUGAUUAACCCCCUCAACUCUUGCUCAAGUCCGCAAGUUAAAAAACAGUGACCAUUCAAUAUUUGUACCCACGUAAAUAGUUUCUUUGCUGCCUAGGUGUGUUUUGAGUAUGAUGUGAGGAGCCAUGCAAAUUUUUAUUGUGCUAAUUGAGCAUUUCACCGGGUCCACUACGUCCAUUUGUACGCAUUUCACCGGAUUGGUUUCAGCAAUGGGAUGAGUUGCAAUAACUUUGAUAGUUCUUGAACAUGUAGUUUGGGGUUGACCAGGAAGUUGAGGUGGUAAAAUGGGCAAUAGUAGACUAAAAAUAUCGAAAAAACAUACAGCUUGUGCAUUUGCAAGGAAUGUUAUGCCCUCAAGACUCACUUAUGCAUUUCAUUUAUGGCAACAUAUAUGGUAUCUGAUUUUCCCGCUAAAACUUAGCGGUAC